UGCAGAUCUGAGCAGACAGACAGGCAUCAGCACGGGGUCCCGCCACACCGCCCGGCACGCCUGCCCCCAAGACGGGAAAGGACUCCACCUGCAGGCGCUGCCCGAUGGUUAUCGUCUCUCUCAGGGCACCUGGCUGCCUGGCACCGUGUCAGUGGGCACGGCCGUCCCAGUGAGGAGAGACCGGCCGGCCGUCAGGGCCUCCGUGCACGCCUGUGGCCUGGUUACUGACGCCGCGGGCCCCGCUACAGACAGACCCCGACUGCCCACCGAUGCCCCCACUUCCAGCUGGAGCCCGGGGACGAGGGACCUCACCCUGUGAAACGGGACAGACCACGGCAUUCCCGACCCGCCCAGCCUCAGACAGCUCCACUUCCUGGUCCCUGCCCGGACGGACGGACGGACGGACGGACCGGGGCCCAGCAGCACAUGCAUCAAUGGACUAGACUGACAGCCACCCCCACAUUCAUGCGGCGCGAGUCACAGCAGCCACGAGGAGGUUCCCUGCACCAAGGACACCCUCCCGCGGCCCAGCGCAGGCCGAGAACAGGAGCCUGGGCUGCAGAGCCGGCCUGACAGCUCCCGGGCCGCUCGCUGUGGUGGGAGUGAGUCGGACGCUGCUGGGGGCCGGGAGGGGCCCGCCGCCCCCCUGCCUGGCUGUGUCCCGGGCGGACCUGCGCCCAGACCCGAGCGUGGCCGAGGGAGCGGACUCACAAUCCCG